CUCGGGAGCUGGAACCGGCGCGCAAAAUAACCGGACACUCGCUCAGUCAAAAUGUUCUUUGUUUUGCCAUCGUCCACUUUCUCCGCUUCUUUCGAGGUCUUCUCUCCUGCCAGGGCAGCACGGAGCAACGCGAUUCCGUCGUCAUGCACGAAAAAAAUCACCUGGUUAAAGCGGAAUCUUCAGCGCUGCCUGCUGUCCCCAGUUCUAUCAGAGAAAGCUUACGUGCCAUCUUCAUUCGGCUAAGCUUCUUGUGCCUUUUUUGUAACAUCUACAACUGGGGCUACAAGUUUGCACUGCAAGAUUCCUUUCCUUCCAGAUCCAUUUUCUACUACCACAGUUUAUUACGAUAGCCACAGGUGCCGAGACAGUCAACGAGCUUUUGUCCUCAGUGCAACAUGUCCACUGAACUCAAAUACGUUUACGUCCCCGAUACUCGUGUACAGUGGUGUAUGUCUUCUGUGCCGGCGCCUCGUCAGCAAGCACGUUCCGAUAACGCAUGCACGUUGUGCAUCUGACGGAUACACCGUCGACAGACGAUUUACCUUUGAUAACGAUGGCUCCGUUGUCGACUUCUAUGGUUACGUCAUCUUUCUGAAGACCUGGCAAGUCAGCCAAAAUAAUCAUUUCCUUCUUUUUGCUGUCGAACUCCACGUCGACUCUGGGUCUCCACGUGAUGUCCUCCAUCAUUUCGUUUGCGGUGAGGGCCGUCUCGAACAACAUAUCGUCGAUGGGAUUAAGACCGACUCCACCCCAAAACUGCACAGAUGCACACAUCUGUGGCACGACCAUCCCUCCUACUCAAGGCGUAACACAAAGGGAAACCAGUAUUACAUCCAAGCUCCUAUUUUUCGGUUGUAGCAUGCGCCUCUCGUCACGGCUACACUCCGGUACACCGAACUUGCCGCUAUCGCCGCCCGUGAGCUUUUCCUCUUCGAAAAUCCCAACUUUUCCCUUCAGGUCCACCAUCGCUGUCAGUCUUACCGGGGGAGGGUAGUACGCCAGAGCAAACGGGCUUACUUCAUCCAAAUAGUCUAGCUGCAUAUCCACGCAUCAAAUCGCAAUUUCCAUCGCUGUUUACCGCAAGAAGGCGUCCCCGCUGUCGUUUGAGAGGUAGUCCAACAUCUUCGGAACCUUCCUUGUCUUCGUCACUGUUGCGAGACUCUCAUUCCCGGUCUGAGUAUAGUUGCUCGUAUCCAGACUCCCUCUCGUGUGACAACACUCCAGUUGAAAUCGUGUCGGG
rnacentral:lncRNA from 1 species